rnacentral:tRNA from 1 species
AGCAGUGUGGCUCUGUGGAAAGAGCACUGGCCUGGCAGUUAGAGGACCUGAGUUUUAAUCCCGGCUCUGCCA